UCCCAGGCAGCUUCUGGAGGAUAUACUCACUGUAGACUGAUUUAAUUAAAAGACCUAGGACUACUCUUCUGGAAAUGUUCAGAAACUCCUCAUCAUUGUCUUUCAGGGAUGGAAGGCUUAACAGGAACCAUGCUCUCUGAUGUUCUCCAAAAUCAAAUUUCUUUGGCUAAUUGCUCAGUUAAUUUGACAAAUGGAUAAAACCAAUCACAUAUGCUAUUGCUGCAAAGCAACCAAAGUCAAGCAGCUUGCAAAACGUUUUGGGGAAGAUGCUUCACAUUUUUAUACACAAUAUAGAAGCUGGAAAUUUAAAUGAACGUACUAGAGAAAGCAACACUGUGGAAUUUGCAACUUGUUCCUGCCCUUCUGUAGGAACCACCAAUGCUCAACAGCAGAAAUCAGUAAAACUUGCAUGAAUUGUAGAAGAGUUUGAGAGAGACCUAGUUUUAGUCCUUGCUGUUCAUGGAUUAAUUUCAUAUACCACUGCAUAAACUAUUUGGUUUGAAAGAAAGAACUGAUCAACUUCUAGAAAGAAGUGGCAAUAACGCAAUCAUUUUUCACUCUUGCAAAGGGAGCUGAAGCCCAAAAACUGAGGCAAAAAAAAAAAAAGUGCAAUGUGUAGGUUUCAUUCAGCUUUGAAAUCUGCAAAAUCCGCCAGCUGAGUGAUGUACAUGACUGCAACGCUACACAAAAUAAAGGUUAUUUCAUAAAGUCUGUCUACAGUCUAUCUGCAAAAAGAUUAAAAGACAAAGCCUAAUUAAGGUGUACAAAUAAUUCCUGAAAGCAAACAGCAAGGGUGGAAAACAUUAUUUAGUGUUGCUAUGAUGUACUUUGAGAGCUGUAAAGGACUAACAAAAGUUUAGGUCAGUCUCAGAUAAAAUUUCUGAACCAUGACAUCUAGCUGACUUCAUCAAACUCCCAAGUGAAGUGAAAGAAGCUCCAGCAAAUUCAAAAUCUAAAACCUGGCUAGGCAGAACAACAGAAAAACCUGCUGGGGGGAACAAUUCUGCAACAGUCACUGAAGGAUGGAUGACUGGGUCCUCUUCCAUGUAUAAACUCAGUGAAUAUAUCAGUUGAAUUUACUAAGGAAGUUCACUAACUUUAAGCCAUGGAUAUUAUCUUAACAAGGAAUCAGUUAAAACUGCAUUAUAACCACGUAAACACCUUAUCCUAGCCUGUACUCUAACGGACAUUUUAAGAAAAGGGAACCCAGAGGAUGGAGUGGAUCUUCCCAAAUACAUUCAACAGAAGAAAAGAAAAAAGCAUGGGUUAUAAAUUGUGGUCCUCUGAAGUAAUCACGUAAAAACAGUAUCGUCUUGCUUCUUACAUCUGCUUUGUGUAUCUAUCUCCUCACGUUUCCAACAAAAGCUAUUUACUCACUGAGUAAAGAGGUAACAGCAGAGAGACACUGAAACUUACUCAGUAUCAAUAUACCUUCAACAAAUUGUUACAUGAGUUGUGCCAGCAAAAGCCUUCAUUACUGAUGCCAAUGCAUGAACCGAAAGGGAUAUAUGUUCUUUAGUGUAACACUUCUCAUCUGAGGCAUUCUUGUCUAAAAUUAAACGCAUAUUUUUUUCAAAUUAGAUCCAGAAGCAACGUAUAAACAUAAUAAAAUCUGAAUUCCAAGUUGAUAUGAGUCACUGUCAGACACAUUAUUCUUAAAAGAAUGGAAAACUUCAGCUGAAACUGAAAGUAAUGAGUAAGAGGAUCAGGGCAAAGGAACACCUUCUGGAAAUCCCAAGCAUAACAGAAUAAUUAUAUACCUUUCUUUUUGAGAGCAAAAGACCUGUAUUAGUUAGGAAUUUGUUUUCUUUUCAGAAACAACUGAAGAAAUUAGCCGCUUAGAUGCUACAAUGCUGCCUAUCAUCAGAAAGGAUACCUUGAGAAAGCAGAGAAGAAUAAAGAAAGCAAAUUGUAAAAAUUUUAAUGGAAUUUAAGUACUGCACUGAAGUGAGAAGAGGAUAUAUGAAAAACACUCUCCUGACAAAUAAUUUGUACUAUCUAGACACAGUAGUUCAGGAAAUGACUAUCAGAAAUGUAACAAGUUUUUUUAUCACAGAUAAUAAGGAAGGAAAAGAGUCUAACAAGAGGAAAUAAAACUGAGAUACAAUUAGGCUGAUAACAGGAGAUUUAGUUAUCCUGGAAAGGGAAACUCUAUAAGCUGGAAAGAAUUGUAACUCUUCAUGACUGUUCCAGAAGCUAAUCUUCUGUUGAAAGGUGCACAAGAUAGACUAAAGAACACCUUAAUGAAACAACAACAACAACAACAACAAAACCAACAAAAAAAGACCCAUUAGAAAAAAGACAAAAUAAUGUUGUAUUUCAUUGUUGCAGGGAUUUGAUAGAUAUGAUGUUCCCAGGGAUUUGUGUGCAAAUUCUUCAUUGUUUCUUUAACCAAAUUUCAACUCAUUUAUAAGACAAAAACUACAAUGUAUUCUUUCAAGUUAAAAUACUUUUUUUUUAACUGAGUAAAAUGUUUGUACUAUAACUUGAUCGCUGCAAGUGGAAAACUGAUUUACCUGCACAUUUUCAGUGAAGCUGCCUGAGACAGCACUGCAUCAAUUCUCCAGUAGGUAUAAUUUUCAUCUACACAUUCAAGAUGAAGCAUUUUUUCCUUCAAUUUCUGAUGCUUUUCCACAUUUUGUU